AUGAAUCAGUCUAGAUCUAGAUCAGAUGGUGGUGGUGACGAAACCUUAUCUCAAGACCGUAAUCAUUUGUGAAAAUGGGAGAAGAUGGCAGCAAGAGCAUCUCCACAGAGAAGAGGCCUGAGAACUCGAUGAAGAUUAUCGGCUUAUGAGAGGACCAUAAUCUUUUAGGCUCCCCUAGAGAAAUAACAUCAGAAGAACUGCAACAGUGGUUAGAUGGGGUCAACAAACAACUAGCAUCUCAGCCUGACUCGAGAAAUGGAAACAAAUUACAGAGACUCAGAAGUCCCCAGAGAAAGUUCAAAUGAAUAUUCUCUUCUAGCAUAGUUGAACACCUUUCGGGGCACAGGAAAUGCAACUCAAAGUGGACAAAAUGGGAAUCAAAAUUGGAGAGCUGUGAGUCGAACAAACUCGAACAGUGGAGAGUUUCGGUUUAGUUUGGAAAUCCACAUAAAUCAUGAAAAUAGAGGAUCUGAAAUUCAUGGAGAUUAUACAAACAUUCCACUUUCAGAUAGUAACAGAGAUCAUAUUACAAAUAGGCAACAAAGGUCAUCUAGUCCUGUGGCUAGGCGAACAAGAAGCCAAACCUCAGUGAAUUUCAAUGGUGGUAGUUCCAACAUUCUAAGGACUAGGCUUGCUUCAAGGGGGAAAAAUUCAGCUGAAGGAUCUUUCUCAACAGUAGGAAGAUUAAAAAAUGGAACUGGGGGAUCAGCUGGCAUUCCCAGAGCUAGUGCUUCACGCACUAAUUUCAGUAGUCACACAAACCAGUCGGGUGGCAGCUAACUCAGGCAAAGGGAGGCACAACAGUUUAAAGCAGCACAUGUUUGGGAAAAUGGGGCUAGAUAUAAUGUUACAGUGAGAAAUACAAACCAAAGAUUAGGGCCAAUAAGAUCUACUAUAAGUAGCCGAAGCUGUUCACCAAUUCAGAGACACAGUGGCACUGUUUGUCAUAAUUCACAAAGGGAAAGUAGACCAGUACAGCAAACCACUAGAAGAUCUGUCAGGAGGAGAGGUAUAACUCAAGUCUUUUUAGAGCAAGAUAGAGAACACAGAGGUACUGCAUAUACCCCAUUCUCUAAUUCAAGACUUAUGUCAAGAAUAACAGUAGAAGAAGAAUCCAGCAGAUCCUCAACUGCUGUACUACGACAUCCAACAAUCACACUGGACCUUCAAGUGAGAAGGAUCCAUCCCGGAGAAAAUAGAGAUCAGGACAGUAUUGCAAACAGAACUCAUCCAGAGUAGGGCUAACAGAACAUACAGUCACUAUUCAAAGCAAUAGUGGGGGCUUCUGCCGAAUCAUUUCUCGUUUAGAGCGGUCACGUAUUCAAACCUAUGUUAGUACCAUAAUUCUUCCUAGGAUUUCUGAGAACGAGCUUGUUGAGCCAUCAUCAGUGGCUCUUCGGUCAAUCUUAAGGCAGAUUAUGACUGGGUCUGGAGAAUCUAUUAACCAAAGAGCAGACUGACAAUCUUUCCACCCAGCGCUAGAGCAUAACAGUAUUGAUAGUGAACCAGGUAAAAUCUGUAGUGUUUGUAUCAGUGACCACAUAACUGGAAACAAGCUCAGGCAAUUACCUUGCAGGCAUGAAUUUCAUAUUCAUUGUACUGACCGAUGGCUCUCAGAGAAUUUCACUUGUCCGAUCUGUCAGCAGCCUGUUUUAGGGUCCAACAUAGCAAACAAUGGGU
rnacentral:lncRNA from 1 species